UACAGAGGGUGCGAGCGUUAAUCGGAAUUACUGGGCGUAAAGCGUGCGUAGACGGUUAUUUAAGUCGGGUGUGAAAGCCCCGAGCUUAACUUGGGAACUGCGCUCGAAACUACUUGGCUAGAGUGUGGCAGAGGGAGGUGGAAUUCCACGUGUAGCGGUGAAAUGCGUAGAGAUGUGGAGGAACACCGAUGGCGAAGGCAGCCUCCUGGGCCAACACUGACGCUCAUGCACGAAAGCGUGGGGAGCAAACAGG
rnacentral:rRNA from 1 species